GUGGCUGCUGCAAGGUUUUGACAAAAUAACAAAAGCUGAAAUUCUGAAGAGUAUUUUGCACCUUGAUGCAGAUGACAGAGCUGUAUAUCACUGUGUGGGUUCUGUCAAGGAAUUUGUGUGAAAUGAAAGGAGUAUAACACAAUAAGCCUACUUUGCUGUGCUCCAUCCCAGUCUGUAGGAAUAGCCUAGCAAAGGCCCAUAGCAUUAAAAAUUAUCAUUAUGGAAAUACUAUUGAUAUUUAAGAGGUACUUAUUCUGAAGAUCUACUGUCCAAAUGAAAGUAUGGGUUUGAGCUUCUCCCAGUUCUGGUAAAUCAGGUGCAACCCUUACUUAUGGAAUACUUCCAGUGAUCCAAUUAAAGUAUAUGGUACAGAGUGAUAUUACAUGGCACUGUUAUAAAUUAUUUUUGUCACAGCACGCAUGAUCUUUCAAUUGCAUUUCACACAGACCUUGACGGAGGAGGUGAUUUCAAAGGAGAUAUUAUUCCCCUAUUGGGUAAAGAGAGCACAAAGUCACCCAUGGAAUCAAGGAGCUGAAAACAGCUCUCAGGUUACUGCCAAUAUUAAGUAGAAGCCUGUGCUGCACAAAGGAUAAGUUAAAUUCCUCAUGCUGGAAGGAAUCCUGAGACAACCCAAAGAACGCAUCGAGAUAAUGGCUAGUUAACAAGAGAAAUACAGAACUGGAGGCAAAUAUAUCAGCUGAAGCACUGGCAAAUAACUUAAGACAGAGGAAAAAAAAAUUAAUAGUCUAUUCCACCCAUCAGCCAACUCUGAGAUCCAUGAUUUGCUGUUGGUGCUAGGAGAACAGCAGCAACAAAAAAACAUUAGCUUUAUAAGCACUGCUGCCAACUCCUGGCACUUGCCAAGACACCAGUAACACUUCAGAAGAACAAUACUUAAAGUUAAUCACAGAUAACUAAUUUUCGAGCAGGCCAAGGUCAACUUGUGAUCAACUACUAAAAUUCCAGGCUCCCUUUUCUUCCUGUCAGAUCUUACAUAACGCGUCCUUUUCUUUACCCUACCUUAUUUCUUUUCUGUUUGCUAAUUAUGGCUUAGUUGGGUGAAAUUGAGUAUUGAUCAACACUACAGUAAACCUACAUGUAGUAGCGAGGAAGGGGCCAAAACCAGAAAAGCCUGAUAGAAAUAGAAGUUUGCCAAGUGUCAGCUCAACUGAUAAGGCUAUGCCUCACUUGAGCUUCAAGUUUACAAGCAAGAGUAAGCUUCCAGAUUAUAAACUACUUUUUCCUCUCUGUGUAGUUUUUUUGUUUCUCUGAUUUCCAACGUUUUUACUUUCUUCUGUCCAAAGAAAGCAGGACUGGACUUCCAACAGCAAAACACUGAACACCAAAACCCCUUGUUCAACUAACUUGCUCUUUUUCCUUCACAAUUACAAUAUCUUCAUUGAUGUCAUCUAAAAAGAUGUGAUUUUUGAAAAAAAAAAAAAAAAAAAA